rnacentral:rRNA from 1 species
GAUGAACGCUGGCGGCGUGCCUAAUACAUGCAAGUCUAGCGAACGGACGAGAAGCUUGCUUCUCUGAUGUUAGCGGCGGACGGGUGAGUAACACGUGGAUAACCUACCUAUAAGACUGGGAUAACUUCGGGAAACCGGAGCUAAUACCGGAUAAUAUUUUGAACCGCAUGGUUCAAAAGUGAAAGACGGUCUUGCUGUCACUUAUCGAUGGAUCCGCGCUGCAUUAGCUAGUUGGUAAGGUAACGGCUUACCAAGGCAACGAUGCAUAGCCGACCUGAGAGGGUGAGCGGCCACACUGGAACUGAGACACGGUCCAGACUCCUACGGGAGGCAGCAGUAGGGAAUCUUCCGCAAUGGGCGAAAGCCUGACGGAGCAACGCCGCGUGAGUGAUGAAGGUCUUCGGAUAGUAAAACUCUGUUAUGAGGGAAGAACAUAUGUGUAAGUAACUGUGCACAUCUUGACGGUACCUAAUCAGAAAGCCACGGCUAACUACGAG